rfam:Bacillus selenitireducens MLS10, complete genome.
GCGCCCGUGGUGAAAUGGAUAUCAUACGAGAUUUCGGCUCUCGCGUUUCGGGUUCGAAUCCUGACGGGCGCG